AUUGAACGCUGGCGGCAUGCCUUACACAUGCAAGUCGAACGGCAGCACGGGUGCUUGCACCUGGUGGCGAGUGGCGAACGGGUGAGUAAUACAUCGGAACAUGUCCUGUAGUGGGGGAUAGCCCGACGAAAGCCGGAUUAAUACCGCAUACGAUCCACGGAUGAAAGCGGGGGACCUUCGGGCCUCGCGCUAUAGGGUUGGCCGAUGGCUGAUUAGCUAGUUGGUGGGGUAAAGGCCUACCAAGGCGACGAUCAGUAGCUGGUCUGAGAGGACGACCAGCCACACUGGGACUGAGACACGGCCCAGACUCCUACGGGAGGCAGCAGUGGGGAAUUUUGGACAAUGGGCGAAAGCCUGAUCCAGCAAUGCCGCGUGUGUGAAGAAGGCCUUCGGGUUGUAAAGCACUUUUGUCCGGAAAGAAAUCCUUGACUCUAAUACAGUCGGGGGAUGACGGUACCGGAAGAAUAAGCACCGGCUAACUACGUG
rnacentral:rRNA from 1 species